UAGAGGCCAACAACAGAACUUUAAAUACACUUCUGAGAAGUUUUGAGGCGAGAAGUCAACUUUGUAGAUUUCGAAUAUCAGCAGUUUUACAAAAAUUGACGGCUAAUCGAAAAUGUGUUCAAAUGUUUUCGGAGUUGAGAAGCUCCGACGGGUGUCAAUAUUAUAUAGCUGCAGUUAUGUUACCGGAGGCUGCACAGCACGGCCUUACGGCAACGUGCUAGCAGAUAGGGUUAACCAGUCGACAUGCAUACAAUCAAUAACUUAAGGCAUUCACCCCUGUGAUGGUUAGGGUAAGAUUAAUAUUCUUCGGGGGGCUGUCAGGAAUAGCUAGCUUGCCGGCAGCCGGUUAGCUCCCCCAGGCCCAGUCACACAGACCGCUGCGGCCAACAUAGCAGACAUGUCCAGCAACAGCUGAACGAUAGUGUUCGUACCGUUAUUCUAGCAUUGAAUUAUCAGUAAUGUAAAGUUUUAACCUAAAUCAAGUUACAUCUGGCUCGUGAUGUACAGAAUAUUCUUGGCUGCAGCUGGACACUUCUCGGACUGGACAUUACUUUGAGAAAAGAAAGCGAGGAAGUUGAACUACCUGCUGUUCAAUGACCUGGUUUGUGGUCAUCCUGCUGGAGAUACGAACUUUAGUUGGAGUACCAAAGGACGGAGUGAAGAUAGAGGUCUGUAGAAAACAACGAGAUAUUUGGUGAGCUACAGCACAGAUGGGAGUGAGAGAAAAAGUGAGACAUAUGGAAAGGGAGAGGAGAAUUGAGCUUGGCAGGAAGAACAUUUUAAACCUACCUUAUAGUUAUAGAAGUGUCCAUUGAUAGAAAAGCGAUGUUGUCUAACUUUCUCUCUUUGUGCUGCUGACAUGCCCCUCCCCUUCCUCCUCUUGACCAAUGAGGCGUCACUCAUACAGCGAAACAGGUUGGACUCCGCCUCCAGCUCUAAGUUCUUACGCCUCACAUGACGCAGUGUGGUGGUCUCAUAAACAACUGGGCCUUUGGAGUGUGCAGAAACACAUGACUAAAAUGUCUCAUAUUCAACAUGUGUUACACUAUUUUCUUGUUUCAUUUUUGCGAAACCAAACAGAAAAAUAAAUCACGAUUGUAUGUGAAAAAUGAGGUUUCAAAACAAUCAAUGAGUUGAUUGCAUGUCUUUGAAAGAAAAAGAAACAUUAUGGAAAAUAAAAACCAACCUGGUAAAGGA